AUUGAACGCUGGCGGCAUGCUUUACACAUGCAAGUCGAACGGUAACAGGCCGCAAGGUGCUGACGAGUGGCGAACGGGUGAGUAAUGCAUCGGAACGUGCCCAGUCGUGGGGGAUAACGCAGCGAAAGCUGCGCUAAUACCGCAUACGAUCUGUGGAUGAAAGCGGGGGACCGUAAGGCCUCGCGCGAUUGGAGCGGCCGAUGUCAGAUUAGGUAGUUGGGGGGGUAAAGGCUCACCAAGCCGACGAUCUGUAGCUGGUCGGAGAGGACGACCAGCCACACUGGAACUGGGACACGGCCCAGACUCCUACGGGAGUCAGCAGUGAGGAAGUUUGGACAAUGGGGGCAACCCUGAUCCAGCAAUGCCGCGUGCAGGAAGAAGGCCUUCGGGUUGUAAACUGCUUUUGUACGGAACGAAACGGCUCUGGUUAAUACCUGGGGCUAAUGACGGUACCGUAAGAAUAAGCACCGGCUAACUACGUGCCAGCAGCCGCCGUAAUAC
rnacentral:rRNA from 1 species